rnacentral:rRNA from 1 species
UACGUAGGGUGCAAGCGUUGUCCGGAAUUAUUGGGCGUAAAGAGCUCGUAGGCGGUCUGUCGCGUCUGCUGUGAAAACCUAGGGCUUAACUCUGGGCGUGCAGUGGGUACGGGCAGGCUAGAGUGCGGUAGGGGAGACUGGAAUUCCUGGUGUAGCGGUGAAAUGCGCAGAUAUCAGGAGGAACACCGGUGGCGAAGGCGGGUCUCUGGGCCGAUACUGACGCUGAGGAGCGAAAGCAUGGGGAGCGAACAGG